GACGAACGCUGGCGGCGUGCUUAACACAUGCAAGUCGAACGGAAAGGCCCUGCUUUUGUGGGGUGCUCGAGUGGCGAACGGGUGAGUAACACGUGAGUAACCUGCCCUUGACUUUGGGAUAACUUCAGGAAACUGGGGCUAAUACCGGAUAGGAGCUCCUGCUGCAUGGUGGGGGUUGGAAAGUUUCGGCGGUUGGGGAUGGACUCGCGGCUUAUCAGCUUGUUGGUGGGGUAGUGGCUUACCAAGGCUUUGACGGGUAGCCGGCCUGAGAGGGUGACCGGCCACAUUGGGACUGAGAUACGGCCCAGACUCCUACGGGAGGCAGCAGUGGGGAAUAUUGCACAAUGGGCGGAAGCCUGAUGCAGCAACGCCGCGUGCGGGAUGACGGCCUUCGGGUUGUAAACCGCUUUCGCCUGUGACGAAGCGUGAGUGACGGUAAUGGGUAAAGAAGCACCGGCUAACUACGUGCCAGCAGCCGCGGUGAUACGUAGGGUGCGAGCGUUGUCCGGAUUUAUUGGGCGUAAAGGGCUCGUAGGUGGUUGAUCGCGUCGGAAGUGUAAUCUUGGGGCUUAACCCUGAGCGUGCUUUCGAUACGGGUUGACUUGAGGAAGGUAGGGGAGAAUGGAAUUCCUGGUGGAGCGGUGGAAUGCGCAGAUAUCAGGAGGAACACCAGUGGCGAAGGCGGUUCUCUGGGCCUUUCCUGACGCUGAGGAGCGAAAGCGUGGGGAGCGAACAGGCUUAGAUACCCUGGUAGUCCACGCUGUAAACGGUGGGUACUAGGUGUGGGGUCCAUUCCACGGGUUCCGUGCCGUAGCUAACGCUUUAAGUACCCCGCCUGGGGAGUACGGCCGCAAGGCUAAAACUCAAAGGAAUUGACGGGGCCCCGCACAAGCGGCGGAGCAUGCGGAUUAAUUCGAUGCAACGCGUAGAACCUUACCUGGGUUUGACAUGGAUCGGGAGUGCUCAGAGAUGGGUGUGCCUCUUUUGGGGUCGGUUCACAGGUGGUGCAUGGCUGUCGUCAGCUCGUGUCGUGAGAUGUUGGGUUAAGUCCCGCAACGAGCGCAACCCUUGUUCACUGUUGCCAGCACGUUAUGGUGGGGACUCAGUGGAGACCGCCGGGGUCAACUCGGAGGAAGGUGGGGAUGACGUCAAGUCAUCAUGCCCCUUAUGUCCAGGGCUUCACGCAUGCUACAAUGGCUGGUACAGAGAGUGGCGAGCCUGUGAGGGUGAGCGAAUCUCGGAAAGCCGGUCUCAAUUCGGAUUGGGGUCUGCAACUCGACCUCAUGAAGUCGGAGUCGCUAGUAAUCGCAGAUCAGCAACGCUGCGGUGAAUACGUUCCCGGG
rnacentral:rRNA from 1 species